CUAAAUUAAUAAUAGAAGGUUUGUUAAUUUGUUUUAUAUCUUAAUUUAUUGAGGAUAAGCUCAAUAAAAAUAAUAAGUAGUAUUCUGUAUUGUUAGCUACGUGGGCUUGAAGUUAGCCAUUGCGUUAAAACUUGUUAUAAAGUAGCUUUUUUACUUAUAAAGAUUAAUGUACUUUCAUUUUAUAGGGAUAAUAGGAGGAACUGCAUUCUAAUUUGUUUAUGCUAGGAUGAGUAUUAUACGGACAAAUAUGUAAGUAGAGGAUAAAGGUACAUAUAAAUAGAUUCUUUAAAAAAUAAAAAUGAGGAAAAGGAACUCGGCAAAUAUUUGCUUCGCCUGUUUAUCAAAAACAUGGCUCUUUGUCAGUUGAGUAUAAAGAGUCAGGCCUGCCCAGUGAAAUAUUUUUAACGGCCGCGGUACUCUGACCGUGCAAAGGUAGCAUAAUCAUUUGCCUUAUAAUUGGAGGCUUGUAUGAAUGGUUUGACGGAGCAUAGCUGUCUCUUCCUUAUUUUAUAGAAUUUGACUUUUAGGUGAAGAGGCCUAAAUAUAAUUGAAAGACAAAAAGACCCUGUCGAGCUUAAGAAAGAGUUAGAUAUAUUUUUAUUGUACAAAAUCAGUUACUAGUAAUUGUUUUUUAGUUGGGGCGACUAAGGAACAAAUGAAGCUUCCUUUCUUUACUUUUUGCUGAUGAGCUUGGAUCCAGAUAAAACUGAUUGAAAGAAUUAGUUACCGCAGGGAUAACAGCAUAAUCUCUCUUGAGAGACCUAAUCGAAAGAGAGGGUUGUGACCUCGAUGUUGGACUAGAAUAUCCUGAAGAUGCAGAAGUCU
rnacentral:rRNA from 1 species